GCCAAGGGGUCAGCUUGCGAACACCCCGUGAGGCGGCAGCCCAAGUUUCGCAUGUAUCCGAAGUCAAAAUGGAGACAUGCCAUG
rfam:Ruegeria sp. ANG-S4 contig_5, whole genome shotgun sequence.